UAGCCUAGUGGUUAAGGCUAUGGAUUGCUAAUCCGGAGACGGCGGGUUCGAGUCCUGU
rnacentral:tRNA from 1 species